rnacentral:rRNA from 1 species
CCUACGGGAGGCAGCAGUGGGGAAUUUUGCGCAAUGGGGGAAACCCUGACGCAGCAACGCCGCGUGAGUGAUGAAGGCCUUCGGGUCGUAAAGCUCUUUUAGUGGGGAAGAAGCCCACCCGGGCUAAUAUCCCGGGUGUCUGACGGUACCCACAGAAAAAGUUCCGGCUAACUACGUGCCAGCAGCCGCGGUAAUACGUAGGGAGCAAGCGUUGUUCGGAAUUAUUGGGCGUAAAGAGCGCGUAGGCGGUUCGGUAAGUCUGACGUGAAAUCCCGGAGCUCAACUCCGGAACUGCGUUGGAUACUGCCGGGCUUGAGUGUGGGAGAGGAGAGUGGAAUUCCCAGUGUAGAGGUGAAAUUCGUAGAUAUUGGGAGGAACACCCGUGGCGAAGGCGGCUCUCUGGACCACAACUGACGCUGAGGCGCGAAAGCUAGGGUAGCAAACGGGAUUAGAUACCCCGGUAGUCCUAGCCGUAAACGAUGGGCACUAGGUGUUGGAGGUAUCGACCCCUCCAGUGCCGCAGCUAACGCAUUAAGUGCCCCGCCUGGGGAGUACGGUCGCAAGACUAAAACUUAAAGGAAUUGACGG